rnacentral:lncRNA from 1 species
GUUCAUAGGAAAGAGUUUCCACACUUGUUUUUCUUUCUCCUUUCUUACCCCUUUGCGUUACGUGUAACAAGUCAGAUUGUAGUUAUGAAAGUGAGGAAGGAAAGCAGCUUGCUAGCACUCUCAGGCUGAACUCUGCUACUGGUCUUGUUUAAACCUCUCGGUGACAGCCCAAGGGUGUUAGUCACACGAUUGUUUAGGAUGUGCAAUCAGCCUAGGCUAAAAUGAUGUCAUCAGGAAGAAUUACUCUGGGACUUUGCAAAUCUGCAAUGUAGGAUUUACUGAGGAAAAUGAAACCAUUAGCUCUUUUUACCCCUCCCAUCCCCCAUGGUUUUGUCUUUUAACUAGGCAAAUGAGAAGAUUCUAGAGGAUAUUAAUAACUACUCAUUGCAUCAUCAAGAAAGAAUAGCUAAGAGGAGACUUGGAUAAAAACUUUAUUUCUUAACAAUUCUCACUGGGGAACAAAGCAGUUUAACAGCCAAGUAGCUAGUCCUCAAAAUGAUGAUUCAACACGUUAUGUAAUGCUGGAUACAGAAAGAUGGAAUCUCUACAAUGUAUCUGCUUCCAACAUGACCAUGAAUGGCUGCUGAUGAACGGUGUCAGUCUGCGCCUGGGAACGGAACCUGGCCUGCUGAAGUGGAGCAUGCUGAACUUAACCAUGCUUUGUAGCAAAGGAGUGGGAACGUGGAGGAGGAUGGGAGAAGCGAGCUGACUGUUACUGAGUGCCUUUAAGUGUCAGGCAUUGAGGUGAAGAAAUUGGACCCAGAGAGUUGAAGUAGAUUGCCCAGAGUCAUAUGGGGCGUGAUCUGGAGUCCAGUUUCCAGAACUCCCUGGAGGAUUCACGAGCCUCAGACAAUGAAGUGCCUCAUCUGGAGAGAAAGGAGGAGCACAGGGGUCACCAGAGUCCAUCUGGCUGCAGUGACCUUGGAGUGACUAUAGCUGCUUACUCCUGUUGACUGAAGCCACUCAGCAGGGCUCAAG